UACGUAGGGUGCAAGCGUUAAUCGGAAUUACUGGGCGUAAAGCGUGCGCAGGCGGUUGUGCAAGACCGAUGUGAAAUCCCCGGGCUUAACCUGGGAAUGGCAUUGGUGACUGCACGGCUAGAGUGUGUCAGAGGGGGUAGAAUUCACGUGUAGCAGUGAAAUGCGUAGAGAUGUGGAGGAAUACCGAUGGCGAAGGCAGCCCCCUGGGAUAACACUGACGCUCAUGCACGAAAGCGUGGGGAGCAACAGG
rnacentral:rRNA from 1 species